AGUCAGAUGGCCGAGUGGUCUAAGGCGGUGGCUUAAGGUGCCAUUCUCUUCGGAGGCGCGGGUUCGAACCCCGCUCUGGCUA
rfam:Nosema bombycis CQ1 unplaced genomic scaffold NBO_12, whole genome shotgun sequence.